rnacentral:rRNA from 1 species
UACGGGGGGGGCGAGCGUUGUUCGGAAUCACUGGGCGUAAAGGGCUCGUAGGCGGUCCGUCACGUCGGGAGUGAAAACUCAGGGCUCAACCCUGAGCGUGCUUCCGAUACGGGCGGACUAGAGGUAUGCAGGGGAGAACGGAAUUCCUGGUGUAGCGGUGGAAUGCGCAGAUAUCAGGAGGAACACCAGUGGCGAAGGCGGCUCACUGGCCCGGUACUGACGCUGAGGCGCGAAAGCGUGGGGAGCAAACAGG